rfam:Ornithorhynchus anatinus chromosome 4, whole genome shotgun sequence.
CCCCUCUCAGAAUCACACCUGGAGAGUUUCCAGUACUCUACCAGUCUCGGCUAUGGGGAGGGAGAGCCAAGCAGAGGCAAACCCGUUCCAUUCCUAGCUUGGGGCUAGCGAUCGGAAGGCAGUCUGCUACAAGU